ACAGGACAUUAUAAAUGGAAGAUUGUGGCACUUCAAAUUUCAAUUUGAGGCGCCACCAUUUUUUCCAAUCGCACCUCUCAAAGCGCCUCACUCUCUCCUCCCAUUUUUGUUCGUCAAGUUUUGCUGUCGUACUAGAAUUCGCCAUUUUCUCCAACAUUAAGGAAGACCUGUAAGGUUGUGACAGUGACACAUAAAUGUACAUACGAAUUCCAGAAGCAUUGAACUUGGUGGUUUUGCUGAGGCGAAAAAGAUGGAGGUAUGAUUUAGCACCUUAAGAAGGUUGAUCAAGAUGAUAUUGUCGUGAAAAAGAGAAGUUUGGAAGAGCUAAGAGCCUAAGAGUGCUUUUUAUAUGGUACAAUGAAAUUUAUGGAGAAUUUUAUGUUGCAUUGCUUUUCUUCAUAUUUUCAAUGAACACUGGAUCAGAUGAUAUCAAGAAUAAUCACUAACCUAAAUGAUGAACUAAUAUGAAAAAUAGUCUGGUAACUUACAUGCUGUUCAGUUUAAUGAUCAACUUCUUUGUUUGGAAAAAUGUAGAUCCUUUAGUGAAUUGAAUUUGGGGUGGCGUCAAGUGGACUAACAACAAAUAUUAGGCACUAUUCUACAAUUUUCCUAGCCUUGGGGUGUAAUUUACUUGGAGUUGGACUAAGUACAAAGUUCCUACUGAAUCAUCAAUAAGAAUCAUCAUAGAAUGUUGAAAUCAAUAUUCCAUUAGUUCCAGUUCAAAUUAUAUCAGGAAUUCAGGGACUACAAAGAAGUAAUAAGUUUGCUAUAUACUUAUAAGAAUAAGGACAAUUUUCGGCCUUUGAUGUGGGCAUCGUUUCUUGUUUCUGGGGUGCAAUGAGUGGGAGUUCUGAAGUGUUAGAUUCAUCAUAUGCUAGUUGGAUCCUGUACCUUAUUUCAUCUUAGCAGCCCGUCUAUUCUUCUGACAUUAUUCAUUUGAUAUACUCUUGCAUUCAAAAAAGCCUCUGACAGAGAAUUAGCAGAGCGGCCUCGUCUCUGCUUCCUGUGGGCUUUUUGGCCCUCAUGUGUGGAUCAACCAUUUAACCAUUUUCAUAUUGAAGGUAAGUUUCUUGCUCCUGCUUUUAAAGCGUUAAUUAAUGUUAUUCUUAUGAUUUAUUGAUCAUGGCAGCUUCAAUCCUAACACACCAGAGAAAUGUGUAUUUCUUUCUUAUGAAAAUGUCAUAUAGAUACCUGACUGAAUUGCAACUUGGCAAGAUUGCUAGUUUAGUAAAAUCAUUUAUUGGGAUUAAAAAAAUAAGAUAUUUUAUUUCAAUAUUUAAUCUUCCUUGCUAUCUCUUACAUGGAAUUGGAGAUUAUGUAAGUCACUUUAGAUGUAAGAAGCACACAUGGUAUAUAUGUAAUAAUAACUUGAUAAGCAGAAAGUUCCAGAAAGCAUGCACUUCAUGGGAAUUUACUAUAGAUUUUGCUUGUAUGAAGUCAGAACCCAACUAUUCUUUGUUUUGCUAGUGUUCCCCUCCUGGAAACUUCAGGUCUAGUGGAUCCUGCAAAAUUAGAGAAAGGGGGCAGCAAAGGAAGAAGUUAGAUGUAACAAAAGUUGAAAAACUCGACCUUCAAUAAUUAUCAAUUAUUUUUAUGUACUCAAAUUAUUGUUUCGGAUGGUCCAGUACUCUAGGCAGUCAUAUCACUAUUAUUUUUUUGAAUGGAAAGCCUUAUAAGAAAAAGUUUUAGAAUAAAACUAUAAAAGUAAGAGUUAUAAAAAUGUACUAAAAAAGUUCAGCAAAAUAUAUGGGUUAGUGAUCAGUGUCAGACUGAGUCAGACGGUUUGACAAAAGACCGGGUGAGUUAUAUUAUUAGUCACAUAUCCGAGUUGGAAGAAAAAUAGGAGGGAAUUUUACUGAGAGCAGUCUGCCUGGGGGCCAACAGGCCCUGGAAUGCUGACCCCACAUUUGCCGGGAAGUGCAGCUGAGUACUUGUGGUUGAUGCCUGGAAUGGCUGAAGCGGCUGAUUUCAUGCACCUACAAGCAGUUCUUUUGUCCUGGGUUGUGGGAGUCAAGUUUCGGAGGGUCUUAACA